rnacentral:rRNA from 1 species
UGAAUACGAGAUGCUACGGCGUCGAAGCAGUCUAUGUCAUACUUCCAAGAAAAGCUUGCACUGUCAUAAACAAAUAAUGCCUGUACCAUAACCGACACAGGUGGGUAGGUAGAGUAUACUAAGGGGCGCGAGAUAACUCUCUCUAAGGAACUCGGCAAAAUGACUCCGUAACUUCGGGAGAAGGAGUGCCUUAUUUAUAAGGUUGCAAUAACAAGAUCCAAGCAACUGUUUACCAAAAACACAGGUCUCCGCUAAGUCGUAAGACGAUGUAUGGGGGCUGACGCCUGCCCAGUGCCAGAAGGUUAAAGAAGUUGGUUAGCAUCCGCGAAGCUGAUAACUGAAGCCCUGGUGAACGGCGGCCGUAACGAUAACGGUCCUAAGGUAGCGAAAUUCCUUGUCGGGUAAGUUCCGACCCGCACGAAAGGCGUAAUGAUUUGGAUACUGUCUCGGAGAGGGGCUCGGUGAAAUAGACUUGUCUGUGAAGAUGCGGACUACCUGCACCAGGACAGAAAGACCCUAUGAAGCUUUACUGUAACCUGAAAUUGAAAUUGGACUUUACUUGCGCAGUAUAGGUGGGAGGCGUUGAGAAUAUUCUUGCGGGAUUAUUGGAGCCAUCAGUGAGAUACCACUCUUGUAAUGUUAGAUUUCUAACUUUGUAUCAUUAUCUGGUCAAAGAACAGUUUCAGGCGGGCAGUUUGACUGGGGCGGUCGCCUCCUAAACGGUAACGGAGGCGCACAAAGGUUUCCUCUGAACGGGUAGAAAUCGUAUCUAGAGUGUAAAGGCAUAAGGAAGCUUGACUGUGAGACCUACAAGUCGAGCAGGGACGAAAGUCGGUCUUAGUGAUCUGACGGUGCUGAGUGGAAAGGCCGUCACUCAACGGAUAAAAGUUACUCUAAGGAUAACAGGCUGAUCUCCCCCAAGAGUUCACAUCGACGGGGAGGUUUGGCACCUCGAUGUCGGCUCAUCGCAUCCUGGGGCGGUAGUACGUCCCAAGGGUUGGGCUGUUCGCCCAUGAAAGCGGUACGCGAGCUGGGUUCAGAACGUCGUGAGACAGUUCGGUCCAUAUCCGGUGUAGGCGUUAGAAUAUUGAGAGGAGCCUUCUUUAGUACGAGAGGACCGAGAAGGACAUACCUCUGGUGUACCAGUUAUCGUGCCAACGGUAAACGCUGGGUAGCUAUGUGUGGAGUGGAUAACCGCUGAAAGCAUCUAAGUGGGAAGCCCACCUCAAGAUAAGUAUUCUCUU